rnacentral:rRNA from 1 species
UACGGGGGGAGCAAGCGUUGUUCGGAUUUACUGGGCGUAAAGGACGCGUAGGCGGCCACCGCAAGUCAGUUGUGAAAUCUCUGGGCUUAACCCAGAAAGGUCAACUGAUACUGCGGGGCUAGAGUGCAGAAGGGGCAACUGGAAUUCUCGGUGUAGCGGUGAAAUGCGUAGAUAUCGAGAGGAACACCGGUGGCGAAGGC